CGGCUCCCGCGGGAGCUGAAGAUCCGGGUGCGGCGGGUGCGGAAAGGCAGGACCACCCCCCUCGUCCCCAAGCAGCGCGUCACACCCGACAAGGAGGAGACCAUUAAGAAGCUGGAGAGCCUGGAGAAGAAGGAGGAGGAGGUGACAUCGGAGGAG